rnacentral:rRNA from 1 species
UACGAAGGGGGCUAGCGUUGUUCGGAGUUACUGGGCGUAAAGGGCGCGUAGGCGGCGCACCAAGUCAGGCGUGAAAGCCCUGGGCUCAACCCGGGAAUUGCGCUUGAGACUGGUGUGCUUGAGUACGGGAGAGGAUAGUGGAAUUCCCGGUGUAGCGGUGAAAUGCGCAGAUAUCGGGAGGAACACCGGUGGCGAAGGCGGUUCUCUGGGCCUUACCUGGACGCUGAGGAGCGAAAGCGUGGGGAGCGAACAGG